rnacentral:other from 1 species
UGAUACCUGCGGUACUUGUGAUAUUAUCUUUGUUUAAGAACCAAUUAUUCAGAGGGAAUCAAGCCAUUUGUGGCGUACAAGCCGGACACGAUCCGGAUCUAUAAAGCAAACAAGGUAGAUACCCACUUUAACGUGGGUUCCUGAAAACUAUAAUACACGGUACUGCGGGUUUAAU